rnacentral:rRNA from 1 species
ACUCAAAUGAAUAGACGGGGGCCCGCACAAGCGGUGGAGCAUGUGGUUUAAUUCGACGCAACGCGCAGAACCUUACCCAGACUUGACAUCCAUCAGACUCUGCAGAGAUGUGGAGGUGCCCGCAAGGGAAUGAUGAGACAGGUGCUGCAUGGCUGUCGUCAGCUCGUGUCGUGAGAUGUUGGGUUAAGUCCCGCAACGAGCGCAACCCUCGCCUUUAGUUGCCAGCAUUGAGUUGGGCACUCUAGAGGGACUGCCGGUGUCAAGCCGGAGGAAGGUGGGGAUGACGUCAAGUCCUCAUGGCCUUUAUGUCUGGGGCUACACACGUGCUACAAUGGUCGGUACAAUGGGCUGCCAAGGCGCGAGCCGGAGCUAAUCCCUGAAAACCGAUCCCAGUUCGGAUCGAAGUCUGCAACUCGACUUCGUGAAGUCGGAAUCGCUAGUAAUCGCGGAUCAGAACGCCGCGGUGAAUACGUUCCCGGGCCUUGUACACACCGCCCGU